rnacentral:lncRNA from 10 species
GGGGAAGGGACUCCCGCGGCCCUAAGGUGCUGGCGGGCGUUUGGCGUUGCAGCUGUGUGGGCGCUGGUGCGUGCGAGUAGCGCUCGAAGAAACCCAAAGGCGUCGUGGGGCUGCCGUGUGCCCCAGAGAGCACUGCAGGCCGGGUAGGGGCUAAGGCUCCCCGCAGUCUUCUGUGUGUCGUCCAGUACGCAGUUGAAAUCGUUCUCCAACCUGGCCAGUCCUCCGAGGCCCUUCUCAGGCGACCAGACUCUGUUAACAGAGUCCAUUGCUAAAACUCCUCGUUAGUAUUUACCACUCCUCCAGUCUGUGUUUUGAAGCAGUGGUUUUCAACCACUGCCCGUUUUCAGAAGAAAUCAUCUCAAGCGUCCGUGUGCUGCUAGAAGCCGGGCCGGGAGGUCUUGGUGCCGGACUCCACCCUGCAGCCCUUCCCUUUCGCCACCGCCCUGUGCUUAGAGAAACCUUAGAGUGGAGCAAUGAGUCGCCCUUGACUGAGUAACUCUUCGGGGUCAACUUCUCCUUCCACGCCAAGGAAAGGAUUCCAGGGCGAUGUUUCUGGAAAUAGAGAUCUGACCAAGCCACUGCUCUGGUGAAAAUUCAGUGGGUCCCUAGCACCUAGUGCAGCGGCUCCUAGCCUGAGUAUUGCCGUCUUUCGGUGGGGAGGGGUUGGGUUUUUUUGUAGCAUCUGUUGAUCUGAUCUCCAACAUCCUCCACGUCAAUUCCCACUCCACCCACAUCCCUUAUCCUAUACGUAAGCUUUCCAGCCACGGUGCUGGCUUGGGUGGGGGUGCGUGCGGUGCUGACACCAAAAUGGAGGUCCCGUGUUUCUGAGAGUCUCUUUCAGAGCAAUGCAAACCUGAAACUACUCCUGCCAAGAAACGAUUGCAGCUCUUCCCGGAAAAGUUAAAGCCUUUGAGAAACAAAGCUGAGGUUGAAAGUAUUAGUCCAUUUUAUAGAUGAAGAAAUGGAGGCCCAGAGAGAUCACGUGACUUAGCCAAGUCCACCAAGUGAGUAGACGGAGAUGACCUGACCUCUGGAGUUCUGUCUCUAACAUACCCUAGUUCUUUCUUGAUUGUCCAUAAUAUACAAACACAGUGGCCUGAGAAUAUUUACUCCCCUGGUCACUAUUUCUUCAGCUGGAAAGGGAAACAAAUUAGUAACAUUUGAAAAAACAAAAACCCCAACAACUAAAAAAGUAUUACUAAAUGCAAUGCUGUUUGAGAGAACAAACUGUCAACAAAAAUAAUACUUAAUUCUCUGGAAGUGAAAUUAAUUAAAAAUUCAGAGGAGAUACCAGAACACUAGCUGGUAGGAUUAAAUAAGUGAAGGACCAGCUGGAGCAACAUAGCAAGACCUCAUCUCCUCAAAAACAAAAAAGAAAAGAAAAUUAGGCGUGGUGGCAUGUACCUGUAGUCCUACUUACUUGGGAGGCUGAGUGUCAAGGGUUGGGGGGAGAGAGGAGGAUUUGGAAGUAAUGACUCAGGGGGGUGGGGUUUCUUCUUGGGGUGAAAUGUUGGGGAUGGAAAUGUUCUGAAUUUAGCAUGCUGGACCACAUCAAGUUCAGAAGCUUCUGAACAGCGAAGGAAACAAUCAAUGAAGAGACCCACAGAAUGAGAGAAAAUAUUUGCAAACCACUCAUCUGAAG